rnacentral:rRNA from 1 species
CUAGCCGUAAACGAUGGAUACUAGGCGUUGUGAGUAUCGACCCUCACAGUGUCGUAGCUAACGCGUUAAGUAUCCCGCCUGGGGAGUACGCGCGCAAGCGUGAAACUCAAAGGAAUUGACGGGGGCCCGCACAAGCGAUGGAGUAUGUGGUUUAAUUCGAUGCAACGCGAAGAACCUUACCAGGACUUGACAUGUCGCGAAUCUCAGGGAAACUUGAGAGUGCCUUCGGGAGCGCGAACACAGGUGGUGC